rnacentral:misc_RNA from 1 species
UGCAAUGCACCCCUUUGUAACAGCAACACGGACACUAUUCCAUGGGGGUGGAACAGGCACUUUCAAGGGUCUUACAGCAGGACAUACUUGUUCUGCUUUUUGGUUUAGGGCAGCACUUUCACUUGCCAUAGAAGACAAGUAUGCAUUACAAUCAGGAAAAUCUGAAGGAAAAAAUGGCAAACCUACUUCACAUGCAANNUCUCUCUAAGACCUAUUGCAUGAGCUCCCUUGGAGAUGAAAGCCAUCCAGAAGACCUUGACCCAGCACAAGGGGAUUAUUAUUGACCAUCCCAUGAAUGAGUCCAUUCC